CAGCACCUCAAGUGGUCAGGAUGAUUAUUGGGCCUAAAGCAUCCGUAGCCGGCGCUGUAAGUUUUCGGUUAAAUCUGUACGCUCAACGUACAGGCUGCCGGGAAUACUGCAGCGCUAGGGAGUGGGAGAGGUAGACGGUACUCGGUAGGAAGGGGUAAAAUCCUUUGAUCUAUUGAUGACCACCUGUGGCGAAGGCGGUCUACCAGAACACGUCCGACGGUAAGGGAUGAAAGCUGGGGGAGCAAACCGGAUUAGAGACCCGAGUAGUCC
rnacentral:rRNA from 1 species